rnacentral:lncRNA from 1 species
GACCUAGGGACGACGAUGACUUGGGCAUGCUGGACGAAUUGGUAGAUGAAACAUGCUAGAAGACGACUUGGACCUGCUGGAUGAGCACAUGUGGAAGAAGCGGAGGAGCGGUGAGUCUGUUAGCGCUAGAGAUUGGCAACAUCGAGGACCGGAUGUUGCUGCGCAUCCUGCGUGUGUGCGCUCAGGUCUGGAUUAAUAGUUUUUUCUAUGAUUUAUGUCGGUGUGCUUUUGAUUCAUGCGUUCUAGAAUUUUAACAUGUUAUUGGAUAUGCGCUCAAGAGCAAUGAAAUGAAUAAUAUGUGAUAAUCAAUGUGUGAUUUUUAUGUUGAUAUGGACCAUUAUUGAAUUAGCUACCUAUCCAUAUACAUAUAUAUAUAUAGACAACCAAUGUGGACUGAAUAUUGUUGUUGUCAUCGUUCCUGAUAUUUUGUAUUCGUGUUUUUUAUGCAGCAUUGGGAUUAGUCUUUACAGAUGAGGCAGCAG